rnacentral:rRNA from 1 species
GGACGAACGCUGGCGGCGUGCUUAACACAUGCAAGUCGAACGGAGUUAAGGAGCUUGCUUCUUAACUUAGUGGCGAACGGGUGAGUAACGCGUGAGGAACCUGCCUCUCAGUGGGGGACAACAGUUGGAAACGACUGCUAAUACCGCAUAAUGUCAUGAAUCGGCAUCGGUUUAUGACCAAAGAUUUAUUGCUGAGAGAUGGCCUCGCGUCUGAUUAGCUAGUUGGUGGGGUAACGGCCCACCAAGGCGACGAUCAGUAGCCGGACUGAGAGGUUGACCGGCCACAUUGGGACUGAGAUACGGCCCAGACUCCUACGGGAGGCAGCAGUGGGGAAUAUUGGGCAAUGGGCGAAAGCCUGACCCAGCAACGCCGCGUGAAGGAAGAAGGCCUUCGGGUUGUAAACUUCUUUUACCAGGGACGAACACAAUGACGGUACCUGGAGAAAAAGCAACGGCUAACUACGUG